rnacentral:lncRNA from 1 species
UCCUCUAAUUUAUCCGCUAUCUAUCUCUUGACAUCAGUCGGACAUCUCCAAGUCUUAAGAUAAUCAAGACUCGAUUUUUUACCGAAUCAUAUCUCAUAUGGUAUAGUAGGAAUGAACUUUGAUGAAAUCCUAUUCAACAAGUGAAUUAUAGUUAAUAAGGCAUGUUCUCAAAGAUAUAAGGGUAGAUCAGUGAAGCUCAUCAUGAACCUGACC